rnacentral:rRNA from 1 species
AGUGAACGCUGGCGGUAGGCCUAACACAUGCAAGUCGAACGGCAGCACAGUAAGAGCUUGCUCUUACGGGUGGCGAGUGGCGGACGGGUGAGGAAUACAUCGGAAUCUACUUUUUCGUGGGGGAUAACGUAGGGAAACUUACGCUAAUACCGCAUACGACCUACGGGUGAAAGCAGGGGAUCUUCGGACCUUGCGCGAUUGAAUGAGCCGAUGUCGGAUUAGCUAGUUGGCGGGGUAAAGGCCCACCAAGGCGACGAUCCGUAGCUGGCCUGAGAGGAUGAUCAGCCACACUGGAACUGAGACACGGUCCAGACUCCUACGGGAGGCAGCAGUGGGGAAUAUUGGACAAUGGGCGAAAGCCUGAUCCAGCCAUACCGCGUGGGUGAAGAAGGCCUUCGGGUUGUAAAGCCCUUUUGUUGGGAAAGAAAAGCAGCAGGUUAAUACCCCGAUGUUCUGACGGUACCCAAAGAAUAAGCCCCGGCUAACUUCGUG